UCUCCGUUGGUGAGCCAGCGGAGGGAUCAUUACCGAGUGCAAACUCAUAACCCUUUGUGAACCUAUAUCUGUUGCUUCGGCGGCUCGCUCUCGGGCGAGCCCGCCGGUAAUAUCAGUAUCUCUGUUUGAACCCGACGAUACUUCUGAGUGUUCUUAGCGAACAGUUAAAACUUUUAACAACGGAUCUCUUGGCUCUA
rnacentral:misc_RNA from 1 species